AAACACGGACCAAGGAGUGCAAGAGGCGCGCUAGUCCAGGGUCGCGGGGUCGGCCACCGGCCUUCCCGCAUCGUGAGACCCUCGGAAGGAGGCGCAGUGAGAGCGAGCCGCCGGACCGAUGCGGUCCGGGCUGCGCGAGAGCCGUUUCCCGUGGGUUGCGGCGCAUCGCGGACCGAGCCGUGUGACCGCGCUGCGGUCGGCUUCGAGUGGGAGCGUGCCUGUUGCGACCCGAAAGAUGGUGAACUAUGCCCGAGGAGGGCGAAGCCAGAGGAAACUCUGGUGGAGGCCCGCAGCGGUUCUGACGUGCAAAUCGAUCGUCGCACUUGGGUAUAGGGGCGAAAGACUAAUCGAACCGUCUAGUAGCUGGUUCCCUCCGAAGUUUCCCUCAGGAUAGCUGGAGCCGUGCGGGCAGUUUCGUCGGGUAAAGCGAAUGAUUAGAGGCAUCGGGGUCGAAAGGAUCUCGACCUAUUCUCAAACUUUGAAUCGGCGAGUGCGGUGCGUGUCCUUGCCGGCGGGAAGGACGACCGUCCGCGGAAUGCAGUGGCUCCCAGUGGGCCGUUUUUGGUAAGCAGAACCGGCGAUGCGGGAUGAACCGAACGUCGGGCUAAGGCGCCGGAGUCGACGCUGACCCAGACACCAUGAAAGGUGUUGGUUGAUCUAGACAGCAG
rnacentral:rRNA from 1 species